AAUACUUUUAAAAUGUGUUUUCUAGGCGAUUAGAAAAUAGAAUGAAGCUGAGGGCACUUAAUCCAAGUAAAAGCUUCUGGAUUGAUGACUUCUAAUAAAUGAAGCUUAUGUGAUCAGCAAACUAACAUCUAUCAAAAGUUUGCCACAUAAUCUAGAAUAAUUCUGUGAGGUGGAAAUUAUCUCUAUUCCACAGAUGACCUAACUAAGAAGAUGAAAAUUCCGGUUGUCUGCUAAUAUCAGAGGUGGUUGUAAGCCUGCUUCUAACUCGUUCAUUCAUGGAAGACAUGGAAGUGUUUACCAGAAGCCGGCAUUGUCUUGGGAAGGACACACAACAGUGAACAAGACGAGCUUUCUUCUCAUGCAGUGUACAUUCUAAUUGUGAAGCUAGGAAUCACAAACACAACAAUGUCAGGUCCAGAUAUGUGCCAUAACAACCAGACACAAAUUCACAGCUGGACAUCAAACUUCAUCACAGAUCCAGUCAUCUAGAAAUGGAAAAUUCCCAUCAGUAACCGUGAGUCCAUAACACAGAGCCACAAUGGCCAUUCUGCCCUCUCCGCCUGGAUGCUCUUCAGUGUAGAGGAAUUAAAGUCAGAGAAACUUUAAGAAGAAAAUAAAUAACAGAUUAUUUUGAAACAUUUAAACAAAGCAACAAACAGUGAGAAUUUACCCAAAGCAUAAGAGCUGAGGAGAAUGCUGGAGAGGACAAGGGGAUAUAAAUAACAGAGGAAAAACAAAACGAAACUCCAGUGCUAUGUAGAAUGGUAAGUAUCUUGGUGUUGCCCAUUCUGCUGUAGUUUCCUGCCUCUUCCUGAAAGGGCAGUAAUCCUAUUGCCCUUCUGAGCUUCCUUGUGAGGCAGAGUCUUUUCCUAGGUGAGAUGGUCCUUUAUUCAUUUAUUUUAUUACCACUAUUGCUUAGCAGUCUUAGAAAAUAAAGGGUUCAAAUCAAAGGUGAA